GGAGGCGCUGAGGCGGGCGCGCGUGCAGUUGGCGAGCGGCCGCUAGGGCUCGCUGCUCCCGCCUCUGCGACCGCUGCGCACAGAGUCGUCAGUCGAGGCAGGCGCCUUAAGAUGGCGGCGGUUACCAGGCCGGGCUCGUAGCGCCGCUAUGGGGGUGUUUUACUGCCCCCUUUGCCGCCUCACCGCUUUCACGGGUCGGCGUCACCUCUACAGCGGCAGCCACCAGCAGCGGCUGCGGGAGGCGCUCGGCCGGCUGCAGGCCAAGGUGCAGUUGGCUCGGAAGAUGAUUAAAAAUGCAGUGGUUGUGAAGUAUGAGGCAGGGGAGCAUGAUCAACUCUUCUGGUGUCUCUGCUGCAAGCGGGAGGUGAAAAGGCACCUGAGCCAUGGGAGCCUGACAGUGCUGCAUGGGGGACUUCUGCAGCACAUGGCCAGCCUGGAGCAUAAAAAAGAAGCCAACAAGUUCUGGUGGGAGAACAAAGCAGAAGCAAAAUUAAAGCAGCAGUUUCUGAUUUCCCCUGAGGACUAUGAACGGUUCAAAUCCUCACUUGUCAAAGCUCUGGAUGCUUACGAAGAAAAAGAGGAUGAGGUCAUUAAAGAGAUGGCAUCCCAUAUCCGAGAAGUGGAGCAGAGCAGACAGGAAAUGGUACAUGCGGUCUUAGAGCCUCAAACAGGGACAGAAUUUUGCGAUGAAUCAUCUGCCUUCAGUACACCUGGAGGGCAUAAAAGUGACAUCACCAUCAUCACAGAAGAGCAGCUUGGUCCAAGUGUGAUUCAGAUAACACCUGAUUUAGACUGGAUGGAAGGAAACCAUGCUCUGACUUUUAUUGGCCACCAGGCGCCAAACCUCCCUGGCUGCUGCAGGAUGAAGAGGAGUUUGGAAGUAAACAGCAGAUUGGACCUUCAUAUGAGGAAUUUCUCAAAGAAAAACCUCUUCACUCUCUCUGAACUAAUGAUUCUUAGAGGAGAAGCAGAAGCUGAAAAAGCUUCCAGCAGAUCGUGUUGGUGCCAACUUUGAUCACACCUCUCAGACAGGUGAAGGCUGGCUUCCCUCCUUCGGACGGGUCUGGAAUCAUGGCAGGCGGUGGCAAUCCAGACAUCAGUUCAAAGCUGAAUCCAGCCAAGAAAGAGACAGUCAAAGGAAGACCCGAAAAAGACCAAAAUCUGAGCUUCAAUGAAAGAGCACACACAUCCUCAUAUUUAAUGUACAAAGUGUGUAACUUCUGACACUGUCAGUGCUGUUAUUUACCAGAGUGUACAAUCCACCUGUAUAGAAAACAUGAACUCGAACUAA